rnacentral:lncRNA from 1 species
GGGUACUUUGAACCUCGGACCUGGUGCGUCACGAUACAUCAUCUUCAUACAUAUUCUAUAAACUACUGCGAAAUUAUAAACAUAAAUUUUUUAUUACACAAUGGUUCUGUAACAUUUCCCAAGAUCUACAACCUUUAUCUUAAUAUAUACCCUUAAUAAUUCACAAGGUUUACAUCAUCAAUUUACUCCAGUUAUCAUAAUAGAUAAAUGUCCUUAUAAAAACCAUCUCCAUCUUUUCCUUUGCCUUUGUCCUUCUUUGAGCAUUGGGGUUAAACUGAAAUAUAUUCAUGAUAUAGCAAGGGUGAGCAACUACUUUGCUCAGCAAAUUUAAAUACAAUAAAGAUAUAUUAUGAUUGAAAGAAAGAUUAAUCUUUCAAGUUUUCAACAAUAUAAUGAUUGUGAAAUAGCAUGAAUCAAAUUUCAAUACAUGAAUGAUUGAAUUAAUAACGCUGAGUGGUCAACAUUGGCCAUGAACAGAUACUUUGGUAAUGAAGGUGAUCAGCCUUUCAUACUUGAUAAACAUAUGAAAUGUGCACUAAGUGCGAAUCAAUAAUCAUAGAUGUGGAAUAAUUAUCAAUAAUUAAACCACUAGAAUUUUGGAAAAUUAUUAACUCGAGUUUGAGUUAGAAAAUUUGUCUUGCCCGUCGAUUACUGCUACACAAUUUAUUAUAAUCUCUAUAUUGAAAAGACCUAUCAUUGUUAAGAUUGAUAUUCCAAUUAACAUAAUACACUUUAUCUCAUAAUAUUAUUAUUUUAAUAACAUAUUAUCUAACAUUUAGUCACAUAAUAAAUAUUAGAUCUUACAUUAAGUCCUUAGUAAUAUUAUUAUCAUACUUUGAUAAUAUUACUAUCAUCUUAAACUCAUUUCAUAUCAUUAAUCUUAAUAAUAUUUUAUUCAAUUCUUAGCAUUAUUAAUCAAUUAAUAAUAAUUUAAUCAUAUAAUAAUAUCUUAAUUGUUUACAAAUAUUAGUAACCCUUUAAUAAUAUUUUAAUCACUUACUAAUAGUAUUAAUUAUUUAACAAUAUUUUAACUAUUUAUAAAUAUUAUUAAAAUUUUAAUAAUAUUUUAAUCACACACUAAUAUUAUUAAUCAUUUAAUAAUAUCUUAAUCAUCUAAUAUUAUUAAACAUUUAAUAAUUUUUUGAUUUAACUUUAAUAUAAUAUUAUUAAUCAUUUAAUAAUAUUUUAAAUCAUUAUCUAUAUUAUUCAUCAUUUAAUAAUAUUUAAUCUAACAUUUAUUAAUAACAUGUUAAUCUAAUAUUAAAAAUUAUUUAAUAAUAUUUUAAUAAUUUAUUAAACUUAUAAAUAAUUUAUUUUAAUUGUUUACCCUUUACUAAUUACUUUAUUUAAAAACCCUAAAAUGCCAUAAAUAUAACAUCUCAUUAAAAAUGACAAAAAUAGCCUCCAUAUAUCAGAUUUCAUCAUCUUUAGGGUCUUUUUGUCAAAAAUAUUAUAUUUUUACCCUUUAUAACAUCACUUAACUUAUUUUAUCCAUUUAUUCAUAACUCAAUCAUUCACAUGAGAAAUAUAAAAACAGUUCCAAAAAAUUUAAUUUUAUGGGAAACAUCAAUUAAUAUUACCCUUAUAAACAUAUAAUUUUUAUGGAAUUUUUCAGUUUCAUUUAUUAUGCUUAAAAUAUUAUUAGCAUUUUAAUAAUAUUUUAAUCACACUUUAAUAUUAUUAAUUAUUUAAUAAUAUCUUAAUCAUCUAAUAUUAUUAAAAAUUUAAUAAUUUUUUGAUUUAACUUUAAUAUAAUAUUAUUAAUUAUUUAAUAAUAUUUUAAAUUAUUAUCUAAUAUUAUUCAUCAUUUAAUAAUAUUUUAAUCUAACAUUUAUUAAUAACAUGUUAAUCUAAUAUUAAUAAUUAUUUAAUAAUAUUUUAAUAAUUUAUUAAAAUUAUACAAAUUUUAUUUUAAUUAUUUACCCUUUACUAAUUACUUUAUUUAAAAACCCUAAAAUACCAUAAAUAUAACAUCUCAUUAAUUAAAAAUGACCAAAAUAGCCUCCAUAAAUCUGAUUAAAUCAUUUUUAGGGUCUUUUUGUCAAAAAUAUUAUAUUUUUACCCUUUAUAACAUCACUUAACUUAUUUUAUCUAUUUAUUCAUAACUCAAUCAUUCACAAGAAAUAUAAAACAGUUCCAAAAAUUCUAAUUUUAUGGGAAACAUCAGUUAAUAUUACCGUUAUAAACAUAUAAUUUUUAUGGAAUUUUUCUGUUUCAUUUAUUACGCUUAAAAUGGCCAGAAUAGUCGGAUCUUCCAACAAUUUUCAUGAACUGAAUUUUUAUCCAAAUAUUCCUAAACUUUCAGGGGAUUUUCUAGUUAUGUAUAUUUACUUCCUAUAAAAAUUUCACAAUUUUUUGAGUUAAACACUAAGAGUUAUUCUUUUUUACUUUUUAAGUAGUCUUUUCUCGUAAAAUCCAUAACUUUCAUCCUACACAUCCAAAAAUUGACAUCUUUGGAUAGGAUGCAUUUAACUCAUCAUACUAUCAUAAAAAUAAUUAGAUUUUUUUAAAGUAAAAUAAAUGGACGAAACUGCCCUUGCUAUGAACUUCCCAAAAAACAGUCCUUUUUUCUCUUUUUGUAAAAUCUGGAAAGUUUUCCUAAAAACAGCUCCCAUGGCUUGAAAAAUCAAUACUUUUGAGUGCUACCACUUGAUUUUACUAGUUAACUUACACAUCUAGCACCCCUCUUUGACGGAUCACAAAUAGAAGGCGUAGAUCUUAAAUUAUAACCUUUCAAAGUGGGCGGAUGAUAGGGUUUUCUACAACUCAAAACAAUCUUUCAUCCCUUUUAUUUUUCAAGUUUUUCAACACCCGAAAAUGGAUGAUAUAAACAUAACACCUUAAAACAUAUAGAUCUAAGGUUUUGGAGUUUUAGAAAUAUUAUAUCUUUAUUCCAUCAUAAUCCGCCAAAAUAAAUUAAACAAAGUUUAAGGUUUAUACCUUUUGAUAUCUUCUCCUCUUGAUUUCCUUUUCUUCUUCUCCUCCCUUCUUUCUCUUUUCUUCUCUUCCAUGGCAGCCACUUUCUCUCUCUUCCUCUCUAUUGGGGCAUGGAGUGAAGAAAUGAGGGAGAGUUGUUUUAACUUCAUUCUCUUUCUUUCAUUUAACUAAAUAAUUUAUGAGAGAGAAG